rnacentral:misc_RNA from 1 species
GUAUUGUGGAAAGAUCACCUUGUAGGCAGGUGCCUGGAGGCACUGAUCCUCGACACGGGAACUCGAAGCGAAGCACGGGGAAACUGUUUUCCGUAUUGUGGAAAGAUCACCUUAUAGGCAGGUGCCUGGAGGCACUGAUCCUCGACACGGGAACUCGAAGCGAAGCACGGGGGACCUAUUUUCCGUAUUGUGGAAAGAUCACCUUGUAGGCAGGUGCCUGGAGGCACUGAUCCACUACAGGGGAACUCGAAGCGAAGCACGGGGAAACUGUUUUCCGUAUUGUGGAAAGAUCACCUUGUAGGCAGGUGCCUGGAGGCACUGAUCCUCGACACGGGAACUCGAAGCGAAGCACGGGGAAACUGUUUUCCGUAUUGUGGAAAGAUCACCUUGUAGGCAGACUGGAGGCAAUGAUCCUCGACACGGGAACUCGAAGCGAAGCACGGGGAAACUGUUUUCCGUAUUGUGGAAAGAUCACCUUAUAGGCAGGUGCCUGGAGGCACUGAUCCUCGACACGGGAACUCGAAGCGAAGCACGGGGAAACUGUUUUCCGUAUUGUGGAAAGAUCACCUUGUAGGCAGGUGCCUGGAGGCACUGAUCCUCGACACGGGAACUCGAAGCGAAGCACGGGGGAACUGUUUUCCGUAUUGUGGAAAGAUCACCUUGUAGGCAGGUGCCUGGAGGCACUGAUCCUCGACACGGGAACUCGAAGCGAAGCACGGGGAAACUGUUUUCCGUAUUGUGGAAAGAUCACCUUAUAGGCAGGUGCCUGGAGGCACUGAUCCUCGACACGGGAACUCGAAGCGAAGCACGGGGGACCUAUUUUCCGUAUUGUGGAAAGAUCACCUUGUAGGCAGGUGCCUGGAGGCACUGAUCCACUACAGGGGAACUCGAAGCGAAGCACGGGGAAACUGUUUUCCGUAUUGUGGAAAGAUCACCUUGUAGGCAGGUGCCUGGAGGCACUGAUCCUCGACACGGGAACUCGAAGCGAAGCACGGGGGAACUGUUUUCCGUAUUGUGGAAAGAUCACCUUGUAGGCAGGUGCCUGGAGGCACUGAUCCUCGACACGGGAACUCGAAGCGAAGCACGGGGAAACUGUUUUCCGUAUUGUGGAAAGAUCACCUUGUAGGCAGGUGCCUGGAGGCACUGAUCCUCGACACGGGAACUCGAAGCGAAGCACGGGGAAACUGUUUUCCGUAUUGUGGAAAGAUCACCUUAUAGGCAGGUGCCUGGAGGCACUGAUCCUCGACAGGGGAACUCGAAGCGAAGCACGGGGGAACUGUUUUCCGUAUUGUGGAAAGAUCACCUUAUAGGCAGGUGCCUGGAGGCACUGAUCCUCGACACGGGAACUCGAAGCGAAGCACGAACGUGCAACAAGGUCGUUCUAUCCUUAUGGUAAGCGUUGCACGGGGGAACUGUUUUCCGUAUUGUGGAAAGAUCACCUUGUAGGCAGACUGGAGGCAAUGAUCCUCGACACGGGAACUCGAAGCGAGGCACGAACUUACAACAAUUUUGUUUCCAUCCUUAUGGUAAGCGAAGCACAGGGAACUAUUUUCCGUAUUGUGGAAAGAUCACCUGGUAGGCAGAAGGUUUCGUGAGCUAGACGAGUCUGCUAGGCUGGUGCUUCACUCUCUAGACAGUGGCAGGUGCUGUGGCGAGCUCUGAGCAGCUCGUCUGCAACGCAAUUCAUUCUGGGACUAGGUGCAGUUAGGCUGAGUCUGGGCUUCGCACUGGUCGUGGUUGACUCCUAGCUUAUCGAUUCGUGCUGUCGCAGGCAGUCGGUCUGCCUGUACACUUUACAUGCUCCCAGAAUAGCUAUGUACUCCGACUCCUUGUCGAAUGGAGCAGGCAUCGAGCCGAAACCCCGCCCCCCCACCAGUGGUGUGGCAAAGCCGUUCUGGCCCCGUGCUACGUACGCACUACCAGCACAGGCGCUACUGCGGGUGCUCAUGGCAAGUACUCGGCGCACGAUAGACCGUACGAAACAACCAGUAUAUUCGAGAGGAACUAGGGGUCAUGGAACCUGGAGGCCGGAUGCUGCAUGACGAACUUUUUUUCGAAUGCUAAUAUCCAUCCCACAGCCUAGGAACCAUGGCCAAUGUAAAUGCUUUUUUCAGAGAGAAACACGCGCCCAAUGGAGCGAUCAUUACGUUUCAAAAUAGAAAACAAUUCUUUCAUGGGAUUCAACCACGGAGCGCACGGAGGAAUAAAAAGCAGCUCUGCCCUUGAUAGAUUCGGCAAAAGCUCGAACGCGAGUCGAAUGGUGAAAUACCACGUUGUCCUAUAGAGGGAUGUCGCCAGACGCCAGCGGAAAAGUCUUCAAUGAUUCGGCAAAGUCGUUGGUGCCAUCGUAUGAAUCCUCUGUACCAGCGAAACCGCGGCCGGCAAAUGAAUCCACUACCGCUAGGACAGAUGAUGUCGUCAGAGUUCUCUUCGAGAUCCAUCGCGCACACAACGGGCUUCCUGCUCUGCGAGUAGUCACAUGCGCUCCAAAGGUUUCACUUAACGGAGUUCUCAUCGACUGAAAAAACCACCCCAAGUCCCAG